rnacentral:rRNA from 1 species
GUGGGGAAUUUUGCGCAAUGGGGGAAACCCUGACCCAGCGACGCCGCGUGAGGGAAGAAGGCCUUAGGGUCGUAAACCUCUGUUGUGUGGGAAGAAGAGCGUGACGGUACCACACGAGGAAGUCCCGGCUAACUACGUGCCAGCAGCCGCGGUAAUACGUAGGGGACGAGCGUUGUCCGGAUUUACUGGGCGUAAAGGGCGCGUAGGCGGUCAUUUAAGUCAGCUGUGAAAUGGUUUGGCUUAACCGGAUCAUGCGGUUGAAACUGGAUGACUGGAGUGCUGGAGAGGCAAGUGGUAUUCCCAGUGUAGCGGUGAAAUGCGUAGAUAUUGGGAAGAACACCGGUGGCGAAGGCGACUUGCUGGCCAGUAACUGACGCUGAGGCGCGAAAGCCAGGGGAGCAAACGGGAUUAGAUACCCUUGUAGUCC